UCCCUGGUGGCUCAGUGGUAAAGAAUCCACCUGUAACGUGGGAGACCUGGGUUCGAUCCCUGGGUUGGGAA
rnacentral:tRNA from 1 species